GACCUUCUCAACCACAUCAUUUGUGUGUGGCUUGGAUGUGGGGGAAACAAUUGCAGGCUUUCAAUCGAAAAAGCCGGCUCCCCUGAAAUGCAUUAGUGGUGUCUGAGCUGCUAUUGGUGUGAUAAAUUAUCUAUGCCUUUGGUGAUGCUGGUCAGCACUGCUUAUAACGGAUGGCUAAAUCAUUUGACAA
rnacentral:misc_RNA from 2 species